rnacentral:rRNA from 1 species
GACGAACGCUGGCGGCGUGCUUAACACAUGCAAGUCGAACGGAAAGGCCCUGCUUUUGUGGGGUGCUCGAGUGGCGAACGGGUGAGUAACACGUGAGUAACCUGCCCUUGACUUUGGGAUAACUUCAGGAAACUGGGGCUAAUACCGGAUAGGAGCUCCUGCUGCAUGGUGGGGGUUGGAAAGUUUCGGUGGUUGGGGAUGGACUCGCGGCUUAUCAGCUUGUUGGUGGGGUAGUGGCUUACCAAGGCUUGGACAGGUAGCCGGCCUGGGAGGGGGACCGGCCACACUGGGACGGAGAUACGGCCCGGACUAGUACGGGAGGCAGAAGAGGGGAAUAGAGCACAAUGGGCGGAAGCCUGGUGCAACAACGCCGCGUGCGGGAUGACGGCCUUGGGGUUGUAAACCGCUUUCGCCUGUGACGAAGCGUGAGUGACGGUAAUGGGUAAAGAAGCACCGGCUAACUACGUG